rnacentral:rRNA from 1 species
UUAAGCUAAGUCUAUGUGCUGCUUAUUUGAGUCUUUGUGCGUUACAUUAAUAAGGUUAGUGGGUGUAAACUUAUAAAAUAUAUUUAGGACUUGGGAGUAAUAUAAUAUAAGCUGGAUUAUGUGAAAUUAGUUUAGCUCAGGUACACACCGC